rnacentral:rRNA from 1 species
UACGUAGGGUGCAAGCGUUGUCCGGAAUUAUUGGGCGUAAAGAGCUCGUAGGCGGUUUGUCGCGUCUGCUGUGAAAACUCGGGGCUUAACCCCGGGCCUGCAGUGGGUACGGGGCAGACUAGAGUGCGGUAGGGGGAGACUGGAAUUCCUGGUGUAGCGGUGAAAUGCGCAGAUACCAGGAGGAACACCGGUGGCGAAGGCGGGUCUCUGGGCCGUAACUGACGCUGAGGAGCGAAAGCGUGGGGAGCGAACAGG